rnacentral:rRNA from 1 species
GACGAACGCUGGCGGCGGGCUUAACACAUGCAAGUCGAACGGAAAGGCCCUGCGUUUGUGGGGUGCUCGAGUGGCGAACGGGUGAGUAACACGUGAGUAACCUGCCCUUGACUUUGGGAUAAGUUCAGGAAACUGGGGCUAAUACCGGAUAGGAGCUCCUGCUGCAUGGUGGGGGGUGGAAAGUUUCGGCGGUUGGGGAUGGACUCGCGGCUUAUCAGCUUGUUGGUGGGGUAGUGGCUUACCAAGGCUUUGACGGGUAGCCGGCCUGUGAGGGUGACCGGCCACAUUGGGACUGAGAUACGGCCCAGACUCCUACGGGAGGCAGCAGUGGGGAAUAUUGCACAAUGGGCGGAAGCCUGAUGCAGCAACGCCGCGUGCGGGAUGACGGCCUUCGGGUUGUAAACCGCUUUCGCCUGUGACGAAGCGUGAGUGACGGUAAUGGGUAAAGAAGCACCGGCUAACUACGUG